rnacentral:lncRNA from 1 species
GAUUUCUCACUGGAAUAUUUUUUUUGAAGCAAAGACUGGGGUUUUAUUAAUAAAUAAACUGAAAACAGACAGCCCAAAAAGUGGCCCAAACAAAGAAACCAGAAAACAACAAUAAAAACUUCUAAAAAACUAUCAAGACUUCUGUCUUACAAAAGAAACAUAAAAUCAAUAAAAGAAAAUAAAGCAAAUUAAAAAACCUAACCCAGUCAAAUCAAUGAGCAGCUGGCAACCAAUAACGUCUGACGAUUUGUUAUUUCCAAAGCUCCUAACGUUUAAUUAAUAGCAGUCCCCUAGGCAUUCAAUCUUCACUCUGCUGUCUAUUUCGGUCACAUUUCCUCUGAAGCAGUUCCUCAAUCUGGAUUUCUUGACCGAUAUCCUACCGAAGCCAGAUUCUGACUAUCUAGUUCCUCACCCCUCAGGUAAAUCGUCUCUCCUUUCUCGAAUGCGAUCUUUGCUAUUCUGUGAGCAUCUAAGUUUUCUGACCUGUUAAUAUACUGGAAAAUAAGAUCUUGAAAGUCAGAUUUCUUCUGUUGAAUAUCUCUGAUGAUGGCUCCAAUAACUGAUUUGUCUGUGGAAGUCUCUUGACAUUUCUUUAUUACAGUUUUUGAAUCCCCCAUAAGUUUCACUGAAUGGAUUCGUAAUGAAAUCCCUAACUUUACUCCUUCUAAACAUGCAUGAGCCUCUGCUGCGAAAGGAGAAGAAACAUUUCUGUGAAUAACUAUUUUUAACGCUAUUAAGACUCCCCUCGAGUCCCAACCUACAAGGCCGGACGCUGAACUGGAGGUAUUACUGUCGUACGCUGCAUCAAAAUGGAUCCUGGCUGUCGGUGUAAGCUCUUGUACUCUAUAGCUUCUGCAUGUGACCUCAUUAGUUUUUAAGACUUUUAAUCCUCUCUGUUCUAACUCAUAUCUUUGUAUGUUAAGUACUAAGGCCCUUCCUGGAAUGAUAUUUCUCUCAUGAAUAAGUUGAUUUCUAGAAAACCAUAUCCACCAUAGCGCAUAGCAAAAGGAAAAGCAUUGGUCAUUGUUUCCCCUCUUGAAAACCCAGGUUAACCACUCCCACAUAGUAUGGCUCCUAUUGUUCAUAACCCAUGCGAAAUUUAACAAAUGCCAAACUUCUGCUGUUAUAGGGCAAUCUCGAAAGAUGUGGAGGCUGUCUUCGACCUCAGAGCUGCACCGGGGACAUCUGUCGUUUGAAACCACUCUCCUUAUACUGAGAUUAACAAAGUUUGGAAUAAAGUCCCAAGAGAUCCGCCAGAUUGUAAACGCAAUUUUAGAUGGUAGCUGAAGGCUCCAUAGUUUUUUUAUAAAAAUCCUUUGUUUCGGUUUGUAAUAAAUAGUCACUAGGAUCCAUAUUUGCAUUUUGUAAUAGUUUAUAGGCACUACGAACAGAGAACUCACCAGAUAAUUCCCCUUUCCAAGCCUGAAAAUCAUCAUGCGCAAUCUCUGCAAGAGGAAUUUCAAGGAUUUUCCGAACUAUGUCCUCAGGAAAGGUAUUCUGAAUCAACUCCAAGUUCCAUUUUCUGUUUGAAUGAUCAAGAUGAUCCGCAACUAACUUAAUUUCCCUCCUGGUUGUUCUGUUGUUUACGUCGAUUUUGUCAACCCCCUGAAUCCAACAAUCGUCCCAAACAGAGAUGCUAUCUCCUCUGCCCACUCUCCAGCACAUCCCUUUUUGGAGUAGACCUUUAGCAGCCCAAAUGCUCUUCCAGGUAAAAGAAGGUAAAUUUCCCAGCUUCGCUGUUAAGAAACUAGAAUCCAGAUAAUACUUUGCUUUUAAAGUUCUGGCUAAAAGCGAAUUUGGAAAAUUAAUGAGACGCCAACCUUGUUUCGCUAAUAAUGCAAUAUUGAACUGACCGAAAUUGCGAAACCCAAUUCCACCAUUUUCUUUCAAAAAACAAAGAUUCUUCCAAGUGCACCAAUGGAUUCCUCUUUUUCAAUUCCCUUUCUGCCACCAGAAUUUGGCAACAAUAUGUUCCAGUUCAUCACAAAGUGUUCUAGGAAAUAAGAAGCAUGCCAUCGAAUAGGUAGGGGUAGCCUGUAAAAUGACUUUAAUAAAAACUUCUUUACCUCAUUGUGAAAGAAAUCUAAUACUCCAAUUAUCAAUGCAUUUUUUAAACCUAUCCUUCAGAUUUUGGAAAGCUUCCCUCUUUCUUCGACCCACCAUAUUUGGCAAUCCCAGAUAUCUCUCUGGUUCAUUCGACCUUCAAACCCCCAGCGAGUUAACAACUUGUCUUCUAUCCUCUUCGGAAGUAUUUUUGCUAAAGAAAACAGAUGAUUUUUUCAAAAUUUACACACUGUCCCGAUUGAGAUUUAUAUUCAUCCAAAAUGCCCUUGAAGAUACUUGCACCUCUGCUUGUUGCUUCACCAAACAAAACACAAUCAUCAGCGAAUAAAAGAGGAAAAAUUUGUGGCCCACUUCUACUAACCUUUACGCCAUUUAACGUGCCUCUUUUUACUGCCUGUCUCAAUAAGCUCGAUAAACCUUCGCCACAAAAGAGAAAUAAAAAUGGACUAAGUGGGUCGCCUUGUCUCAAUCCUCUAUUAGGUGAAAAUGUGUCCCCUUUAUGUCCAUUAAUAACAACUGAGUAGGAAAUGGUAGAGACACAAUUCAUAAUGGCCUUCACCCAUUCCGAAUCAAAUCCCAUCAUUAUCAUAAUUUCUUCAAUAAAACUCCACUCCACCCUAUCAUAAGCCUCAGUCAUAUCAAGUUUAACGGCCAUAAACCCUUUUUUCCCCAGCCUCUUCUGUUUUAACUUAUUCAUUACUUUGUAUUCUAGUAUCACAUUAUCAGAGAUUAAUCGACCAGGAACAAAAGCGCUCUGGGUUUCAUCAAUACAAUUCCCGAUCACCUUUCUAAGCCUGCUAGCUAUCACCUUAGCAAUAAUUUUGUAAUUAACAUUACAGAGACUAAUCGACCUGAAUUGCGUCAUUAUUAGAGGAUUAUUAACUUUGGGUAUGAGAACAAUGUUUGUGGAAUUUAUUGAACUAACCUCCAUGCCUCCAUUCAAAAUUCGAGAGCAGUAAGCAAUGACUUCUUCUCCCAUGAUCUGCCAACACUUCUGGUAAAAAACUGUUGGAAGACCAUCUUCCCCUGGUGCCUUCGUUGGCCCCAUAUCAAAAACCGCUGUCGUGAUUUCCUCCCUAGUAUAUAGAGCUAUAAGGAUCUGGUUGUCCUCCUCUUAAAUGCAUAUCUCAAUACCUGCUAAAAUCUGAUUAUUGUUCCUUCUUCGUUCAGUCGUGAACAGUUUCUGGAAGUAAAAUCUCGCAUUUUCUUUAAUUUCCUGUAAAAUCUUCAGCUCUCUUCCUUCUUCGUUCAUCAAUCUGUUAAUAGAAUUUUUCCUCUUCCUUUGUGUAGCUUGACUAUGAAAGAAUUUUGUGUUUUUGUCUCUAAAUGUCAACCAAUUAAUUCUAGCUCUUUGUUCCCAAUAGCAUUCGUCUUUUUCAAUCUCAAAAUUCAAGUUUAGUCUAGUGUCAAUUAGCUCAGCUAAAGUAUUUUCAUCCCGUUCGGCUCCUGCAAGUUCCUCAAGUUUUUUGUGAAGCUCCUGUUUAGAUUUCUUCCUACUCAUUUUCACCUCUCCUGCCCACUCUUUUAAUCCUGUUUUCAAAAUCUCCAAUCUCUGCAGCAAGUCACCUGUUGAACUCUCCCAUAUGCCUUUAACCACCUCAAUAAAAGAUUCCUCCAAUAACCACCAGGCUUCAAAUUUAAAAUUGUUAUUCCAUACCUUUACUCCUUUUUCUGUAGUAUCAAUGAGAAGAGGACAGUGAUCUGAAAACGAAUGGGAAAGAUGUUGAACCUUCACCUCUGGAAACAUCGUAACCCAACCCAUGUUGGCAACUCCUCUAUCAAGGCGUUCUCGUAUAUUUGUCUCAGGUAAAUUACCUCUUUCCCAAGUAAACCAACUACCCUCGAAGCCCACAUCGUUCAAUUGACAAUCAACAAGUGUUUUCCGAAAACACUCCAUUCUUCUCUAGUCUCUGGGAAUUCCUCAUUUCUUUUCGAAACCAUACAUGAUUUCAUUAAAGUCUCCACAAACUAACCAUGGAAUUUCCACUCCAGUGGUCAAUCUUUUCAAAGUAUCCCAUGAAACGUUCCUCUCCUGGACAUAUGUGGAACCAUAGAAUCCUGUGAAUCUCCAUUGUGGCCAAUCUUUUCAAAGUAUCCCAUGAAAUGUUCCUGUCCUGGACAUAUGGGGAACCAUAGAAUCCUGUGAAUCUCCAUUUCACACCUUGCUCAUUAUCUUCGACUAACACGUCAAUAUGCCUUUUAGAAAAACUACGAAGACUAACAUCAAUAUUUGCUCUCCAUGCCAAACAUAACCCUCCCCUUGUACCUUCAGAAUCAACUUCAAUGCCAUUAUGAAACCCACAUCUCAUGUGAACUACUUCAAUCUAUUUUCUGUUAAGUUUUGUCUCCAUGAAGAAGAUAAUUUGGGGAUUUUUUAACUUUAGUACAUAUCGAAGUCUUCGAACUGCGUCAAGCAUCGGACGUUCCAGCAUAAUAUUUUCAUUGCGACAGGUCGGCUCUUGGUAGCCGCCGAUGAUAAAAGUAUCUGUCCUUCCAUCUCACCUCUAUUUUGCUUCUUCCCCUCUUCCCCCAUUAAAACUUCAUCCUCUAGAUCAUGAUCCAUUAAUUUGUGAAUCUUAUAUGAUCAUGGUUUCUCCAAAACUGUUCCUUUCCCUUCUAAACUAAAACCCUGUAUUGGAUCACUGGUUUUCAUCUCACUACCUCUUGGAAUCCCAUUCCUUGAACCCAUCUCCCCUAAUCUGUUCUCCAUCCAACAGCCUUCCCUAACCCCCUUAUCCUCUUCACGCAGCCAAAUACUAUUCGUUGACAAGGCUCUAUGUGAUGGAGCCCACAGGGAUAAAUCCCAACUCAACUCUAUGGGAUCUGAUCCAACCAUCAUUUUUGUCUCAAUAAGAAUCAUUAUGACCCAACCGACCACAGAAAAAAUAAAACAGUGAUAAACGUUCAUACUUGAAUUUGACGUACGAACAAACACCAUUAGACGUAACCUGCUUCUUUCUCCUUAAUGGCUUCCUGACAUCAAUCUGCACCCUGACUCUCAUAAAAUUACUUUUUUCCUUGCCCAGAUUUGAUGCAUCAUACUCUAAAAAUACUCCAAUAAAAUUCCCCAGUAACGUUGCUAAACUUUUAGAGAAUCAACCCAUUGGAACAUCAUGGAUUUGUACCCAGAAUGGAACAUAUAUUAACGGUAUUUUUAACGGAUCUUCACCUCUGUUCAGAUUGCUCAGAAUUAAUAGAUGAUUGUUAAACGUCCAAGGAAGGCCCUUUAGAACUCUCUCCAAAUCCAUACUAUGGAAGAACUUAAAAAUGUACCUUUUUUCUCCCAAAUCACGAAUCUGUACCCCACAAAUGGGGUGCCAUAAAUUUGCUAGGGUACUUUUCAUAGCCGAAAAAUUUAUGAUACUUGCUGGUAAGAAACAUCCCACAAGCUGAUAAUCGCCCACGUCUGUAUGCGGUUGUAGAUCAUCCUGAAUCUGCAAGAUCUCUUAUUCUUCUUCAUUAAUUGAUAAUUGGGCUAAUUCAGUCUCCAUGGUUGCAGGAAUUAAAGGAACGCUUCCGCCAACCAAUUAAAGAGAGAUCAAUCGCGGAAAUCGUAGGGAAUAAAAUAAAAGAGAUCAAGACCCCUCAAAAUCCAAAAAAACAUAAACUUUAAACCUAAGAACCCAUGCCAGAGACGGCAGACAGAACCCGUGCCAGAGACGGCAGACUUUUUUUGAAAUAUUUAUUAUAUGCCCAGAGCAGAGAACCAGGAAGCUGAUAGACUUGCCAAGAUGGCUCACUCAGGAAGUCAAGGUUUGCGAAUGUUUAGAAGACCCCCAUUUGGAGAGUUAGGCCAAUUGGCAUAGUUUAUUUCUAGUAAUUUUCUAUUUUUCACCAAAAAAAAUAAUAUAUUGUAAUUAAAAUCUAAGAUCAAGACUUUAUGAAGACUCCUUAAAGGAAGAUUAGACCACUAAACAAUUGAAGAAGAGUCCUUCUUGUUUUCCAACUAUUUUCUCUACAAUUCCUCACAAUAUUUUGAACCUUUGUACUAAAAGUGUGGUAAAAGUAUCAUGAAAAUCAUGUAUUAGGAGUUAGAUUGCAUCUUAUCCCCUUUAUUUAAAAAAUUAGAUAAAUUAAUACUUACACAUUAGAUUAAAGAAUAAAUUAGUCUUUUCUGUUAAAAAUU